GUGUGGGUGUGUGCAUUGUGUGGGCUGUAGCUCUGCUGACUAUAGUUUGGAGUCAGUUGUUGCUUAGAAGCAGUAGAGGAGAAAGCACUGGUAGUUAAGCUUGAAGCUGCUUAGCUGGAGAAGACAGCCCACACCCUUUCCACUGAGGACCAAGAAGAUUCCAGUGCGCAGAUGGAACUGUAUUUUCUGCUCUUCACUGGUGGAUAUCAUGGAGCUGGACCACAGAUACCUGUAGCCCAGACACUAUCUGGGAAAGUUUCAGAUAUGGAAGGAGUAAGAGUCACAGCCCCAGCCAGAAUCACCACUCCACUGUAUGACCAAGACCUCGCUUUGAAGAGCUUGCAGGCUGACACCGUGCUUCUUGACUUUUAUCAAGAAAUCAUAUCCUUUCACACAGACCUUUUUACAGACCUACUGAACAGAACCGGGCUGGUGAAUAGGGAAGGCAAUAAACCAUCACUAACAGGGAGACUGCUACACUGGGGACGACAGCUCUCUGGCUACCAGCCUUCACUAUAGUUUACAAGGGGUGUUGCUCUGGUGCUUCCCAGCCUGAAUCACCUCAGUUAGCAGGUAAAAGGGCAUGCUGAAGAGCCAGAUACCUGAGACUCAUCGGGGUGACUGUGAUAAAGACUUUUGUUCCUGACUGCGGUCACUGAGAGAACCAAUAAUUUUGUGUUUUGGAGGAUCCACACAAAUUCAUAAUUAUAGUUAAAAUUAUCUGUACCUUUUUGUACCUAAGAUAUUAUCAGGUUGGUUUUCUUUUUUUGUUUUUUCUUUUUUCUACUCCUUCAGAAAGGGAUGGUUCAUGUGAAGCU